UAAAAACCCUGUGCAGUUUCACAAAAGAUAAAGAGAUUUUUUUACAAGAAGAUGUCACAAGGUGACGAUCUUUCGGGGCGGAACCAAAAGUUGGGAAAGUUUGGUUCCGCCCGGAUGUUUCCGUCCAGACCGGAGAACAGAAACACCGGACAUCCGGCCGCUUCGCGAAGGCUGUAAUCAGCCGAUUGUUUACAGCUGUGUAUAAUUAAAGAGAUCGCCGGGUAAUUGGACAAUUGGAGGACAUGGAGGAGUAUAAAAAGGGCAGCUAAACCACAGUUCGGGCACGAGAGGGGGAUUGACACGGGGAAAGCUCCUCUGCUUAAUGCAGAAAAAGUAACUACGUACCUUUUGAAGAGCCCGCAGGCUCUGUUGAUCCGGGCUGCGCUUGGAGCGCGCGGAAAGAAGACAGGAGCUGCCUGGGGUGAAAGAAAGGCGAUACGUGGGUGGAGAAAAGGAGCACCCCGAAGAGAGCAUUGUGCUGACGAGUCGUAGUGUGUGCUGAGGAACGGAGCUGUGCUCAUUGUUAGACGUGGUGGCUGUCUGUAUUUCUCUCUCUCUCUCUCCCUCUCUCGUUGUAGUUGACGGUGGACCUGUUUGGAGUAAAGGGAAAAUCCUAUGGGUAAAAAGGAACUUUGGUCUAACCAGCACUUUUGAAGGAGUAAAGUAGGAAGAAAAUUGCCCUUGUUGUACAACGUAAACGAAGGCCAUCCGCUGUGAGUAUACCUUUUUGGUGUGGAGUAACUUACAGAAAUUAACCUGUGUAACCGUUGGAAACCUCCAGGAGAAGGAGGGCGGCCCUACCCCUACAAUAGUGUGGUGGGCGAGCCGUUAGAAGUGUAAAUCCAAACAGCCACAGCAACGAGACUUUAUUUUGGUCAUAUUUCCAUCGCCCUUAUCUCAGCCCAAGCGAAGUGGAGGAUGCCGGGCGUUUUCCUUGUGUGUACACUUGUAGUGUGAGUCAGAGGCGAAAGGGUCCGCCGCCCCCGCGGUCUCUACAAAGGGGCGCCCCUGUCCAGGAUUUGAUCGGCCUACAGGCAGUGGAGAUAGGGCAGCGCUCGGCCCGGUGAGGUGGUGUGUGACCUUCGCCCCUCUGCUGACCUACGGAGGAAAAAACCAUACCUACCCAGAGAGCUGUAAGCAGCAGAACCGGUGAGAAAAUACCUGAAGUCCAAGUAACAGUGUCUUUGUGUCUUAGUGACCGCCUGUGGAGAGAAAGGAAAAUGAGAAUGAACAUGAGGAGAAUGGACUGUGUGAAGAUACAGUUGGUGGUGGAGGAGAGCCUAGAGUGGCCAUUAUUUUAAGUUCCCCAUUUUCCCUUCCCUAUAUAUCUUUUUUAAGUAAAUUAAAUAAAGUACCUUUUUAAUAUUAUGCUUACCUUGUGUGUCUGAUCAUUGGGGUGGCUUUGGGAAUCUCCUCGAGGUGGAGAAAGGGGCGUGACCUUAUUUACAUCUGGGUCCACCCCUACCUGUGACAGAUUUGGCGUAGUCGGCAGUCCACCUCGGGUUGAGACCAGGGUCCCCCAAUGGCCUACCACAUUUCUUUUAAAGAACAGCUCCCAUCAACACUCCAUCAGUCCCCAAACAACGCGUUCUCGGGACGAGAACGGAUUGGCGGGGGAGGAUGUCACAAGGUGACGAUCUUUCGGGGCGGAACCAAAAGUUGGGAAAGUUUGGUUCCGCCCGGAUGUUUCCGUCCAGACCGGAGAACAGAAACACCGGACAUCCGGCCGCUUCGCGAAGGCUGUAAUCAGCCGAUUGUUUACAGCUGUGUAUAAUUAAAGAGAUCGCCGGGUAAUUGGACAAUUGGAGGACAUGGAGGAGUAUAAAAAGGGCAGCUAAACCACAGUUCGGGAGUUCGGGCACGAGAGGGGGAUUGACACGGGGAAAGCUCCUCUGCUUAAUGCAGAAAAAGUAACUACGUACCUUUUGAAGAGCCCGCAGGCUCUGUUGAUCCGGGCUGCGCUUGGAGCGCGCGGAAAGAAGACAGGAGCUGCCUGGGGUGAAAGAAAGGCGAUACGUGGGUGGAGAAAAGGAGCACCCCGAAGAGAGCAUUGUGCUGACGAGUCGUAGUGUGUGCUGAGGAACGGAGCUGUGCUCCUUGUUAGACGUGGUGGCUGUCUGUAUUUCUCUCUCUCUCUCUCCCUCUCUCGUUGUAGUUGACGGUGGACCUGUUUGGAGUAAAGGGAAAAUCCUAUGGGUAAAAAGGAACUUUGGUCUAACCAGCACUUUUGAAGGAGUAAAGUAGGAAGAAAAUUGCCCUUGUUGUACAACGUAAACGAAGGCCAUCCGCUGUGAGUAUACCUUUUUGGUGUGGAGUAACUUACAGAAAUUAACCUGUGUAACCGUUGGAAACCUCCAGGAGAAGGAGGGCGGCCCUACCCCUACAAUAGUGUGGUGGGCGAGCCGUUAGAAGUGUAAAUCCAAACAGCCACAGCAACGAGACUUUAUUUUGGUCAUAUUUCCAUCGCCCUUAUCUCAGCCCAAGCGAAGUGGAGGAUGCCGGGCGUUUUCCUUGUGUGUACACUUGUAGUGUGGUGAGUGAGACUUUGCAAUUAAUAAGCUUUUCACGUUGGAGUGGUGCUGUGUAUUUGCUGUGGGUUGCUGUGUGUCUUGUCAGAAGAAGGCCCGCAUCAUCCAUUCGUCUACUGGGCAGAGGACGGAGAGGCUAACGACCUCAGAAUUUACCGCUAUCAUACGCAGUGUGCUGUUUCGGAGUACGAAGAGACGCAGACCAAGAGCUGUCAGUGACUGUGAGUAAAACAUUGGAAAUAUUCGUGGUGUAAACUUACCUGUGUCUGUUUUGUCGCAGAGUCAGAGGCGAAAGGGUCCGCCGCCCCCGCGGUCUCUACAAAGGGGCGCCCCUGUCCAGGAUUUGAUCGGCCUACGGGCAGUGGAGAUAGGGCAGCGCUCGGCCCGGUGAGGUGGUGUGUGACCUUCGCCCCUCUGCUGACCUACGGAGGAAAAACCAUACCUACCCAGAGAGCUGUAAGCAGCAGAACCGGUGAGAAAAUACCUGAAGUCCAAGUAACAGUGUCUUUGUGUCUUAGUGACCGCCUGUGGAGAGAAAGGAAAAUGAGAAUGAACAUGAGGAGAAUGGACUGUGUGAAGAUACAGUUGGUGGUGGAGGAGAGCCUAGAGUGGCCAUUAUUUUAAGUUCCCCAUUUUCCCUUCCCUAUAUAUCUUUUUUAAGUAAAUUAAAUAAAGUACCUUUUUAAUAUUA